GUGCUCAUGGUUUUGACUGGGCUGUCUGGUGCAUGUACGAGAGGUUCCCACGGAAGUCGUACUAUCAAAAUAAUCUUUCUCAGCCAGGAAAUUGUGUGUUGUGCAGUAUUGUGUCUAAGAUGUAAGUGACUCAAUGUUAAAUUCUUCUUGUUUCUUAUUGGAAAUCAUGCUGUUCAUCUGAUGCUGCUAAAUUCUAUUAAGAGUGUAACUGGUGUAUGCAAAUUUCCAACGUUGUUAUAUUUUCUUUAUUUUUCAUAUUCAUUCAUACAGUAUAUUCAUUAUGAGUAACAGAUCCAUCCUUUGCCUGUUCUCCAGGAGUCCCUCUGUGAUGGGAAUUCUUGUGGUUGAUCGUCUGUUCUUCGGUGAGAUUGGGACUCUGGAUGGAGGGAUGGAGGUGUACGGAGGAGAGAAUGUUGAAUUAGGAAUACAGAACCAUGGGAUAGACAUCAGCGAUGUAUUGAAGAGAAAGAGAAUGAGAGAGAAGCGGAAAUGCAAACCAUUCAAAUGGUAUCUGGAAAAUUUCGACUCUGAAGAUCAGAAAAUAAUUGUUGUAAUUGAUCCCAGCUCAGGCAGAUUUACAGAGAUUUACUCAUGUUCAGAUACUAAAAGUUCAAAGCAGCACAAAAACCGGCAUAAAUCAUGACCUAGAAAGUACUUUUAAUGCCAAAAUAUAAAUAUCCCUGCAUGCAAAACCUCCUUGUUCAGAUACAUUUAUAGGAUAUAUAUUUAGGGACACACUAUACAGAACAGAGGCACUUAACACUGUCUGAAGAUCAGUGCUGACCAGAAAGGAGAACAUGAGGUUUUAAUUCAGGAGUCGGAUACAGUAUGUAAUUAAGGACUUGAAAAAUGUAGGAGACUCAUUUCAUUUAUGAUAUAAAUGCUAUGGAGAAACCUUCUGUUUAAGUGUAAGAUUCCACAUUAAACUGAGAAAUGUCAUGUGCUUAAUUAGUUUAUCUUCUCUUAGUUGGUUCUAGAACUGUUUAUAAUACAGCCCUGCAGCUUUUCUCCCACAAAAUAUGUAAUUUUCUGUUGCUGUUUAGAUGUUGAUACUUUUCAAUUUACU
ensembl:lncRNA